UUAAGUUCAGCGGGUAUCCCUACCUGAUCCGAGGUCAAACGUUAAAAUAAGCUUUUUGGACACCGGCUACUGUGGCCAGGAACGCAAAAUGUGCUGCGCUCCAACACCCAAUUGCUGGUUGCCAAUGUAUUCGGGGCGAGUUUCGCACAAUGGCGGAACAAAAACACCCAACACCAAGCAGUGCUUGAAAGGUUUAAAUG
rnacentral:misc_RNA from 1 species